rnacentral:rRNA from 1 species
UAGUCCACACCGUAAACGCUGUCUACUAGCUGUUCGUAUCUCUGAGAUGUGAGUAGCGUAGCUAACGCGCUAAGUAGACCGCCUGGGGAGUACGGCCGCAAGGUUAAAACUCAAAUGAAUUGACGGGGGCCCGCACAAGCGGUGGAGCAUGUGGUUUAAUUCGAUGCAACGCGAAGAACCUUACCUACACUUGACAUGCUGAGAAGUUACCAGAGAUGGUUUCGUGCCUUCGGGAACUCAGACACAGGUGCUGCAUGGCUGUCGUCAGCUCGUGUCGUGAGAUGUUGGGUUAAGUCCCGCAACGAGCGCAACCCUUGUCCUUAGUUGCCAGCCUUUAGUUGGGCACUCUAAGGAGACUGCCGGUGACAAACCGGAGGAAGGUGGGGGACGACGUCAAGUCAUCAUGGCCCUUACGUGUAGGGGCUACACACGUGCUACAAUGGUAAGUACAGAGGGGAAGCGAAACAGCGAUGUGGGAGCGGG